UUGAAGCCAUUUUCAGCAGCUACCCUGAUAGUCAGAUUACUCCUCUGAGUCCUAUUCUCCCUUCAUCUAUGGCUGUCACCAUAAUGACCAAGACACAUCCAGUACAAGUCAGCUGGGAACAACCUGAAAUGAAUGCUAACGGUGGGGAUGCCUCUAUACCCAACGCUUCCUGCUUCCAGUACAGAACCUGUUGGGUUCAGUAUACAGCCCAUGAUGAAGCUGGAAACACAGCCUUUUGCCAGUUUAAAGUAAUCAUCAAAAGUGUUACAGAACAAACCAGCCUCUGCACAGAUAAAUCUCUUCGGUGGAGAUUUGGCAGAACACCGUGUUGAGAGGAACUCCACCUAGACUGGUGGAAUGAAGACAACAGAUACGUUUACCUUAGUCUCCACUCUGCUGCCAGCUUGUGAUGGAACAAAAAAUUUGGCUUCCUAACAUAAGCAAGUACUAAUAAUGUUUUAUUAGAAGGCAGAUUCAUGAGACAAGAAAUAGGAAUAUGAAGCUUUUCAUUAAAUAAUUGUAAGUGCAGCCAUCUUAUAAUAAGUCACCUAUGCAAGCUUCCUCCAGAAAUUUAACACUCUACUAUGCAUUAAAAAUGUAAGUAUUAAAUAAGCAAAUACUUAAAAACUGAAUAAUUGUUAGUAACUCUAUGUAAUGACUUUCUCCCUGGGUUAAUAUUUAAUUAACACACAGUUAAGACAUCUGUGAAAGCCCGGUUUAGAUCAGCUUUGUUUUUUCCAUACUACAGCACAAGAGAUCUGAAUAAAUGUAGUAAUAUUUUAUUGAUCACAAACAUAACACUUCCUUUCAGCAAUUAAAGUACAUGAUAAUUCAUAUGAACAAAGUGAAAACAAAGCACAACCAAAAAAUAAGUUCACAUUUUUUCCAUUUCAUUCUUAGUGUAAGCAAUAAAUACAAUGCUGAUAGCUUCUAUUAAUCUUAUUUACAUAGGACAAUACUUGACUGUUUCCUGGUUUCCAGCCCAAAUGUUUCAUGACAUGAAAAGGAGCAUGUGUUCAAGCAUUUCUACAGUCAAAUACUCUAGUAGAUCAUCACAAUGAAAAAAUACAUAGCAUAAAUGCUAACAUUAAACAAAACAACCAAACAAACAACUGAGAGGCCCCUGCAAUGGAGCUUUUUAUUAACUGAAGACAGUAGCAUUAAAAAUAGACAUUCCCUCUCAUAGAAUACUGACAUGCUGGUAUUACAGAUACCACACAGAAGACAAGUAUUGCUGUAGCCCCUGUAGAUUGAUACAGUAAAUCCUCACUAAAUAACAAAAAAAUAAAGAGCAAAUAACAACAGAUAACUGUUUGCAUGUUCAAAGGAAUCUCACAGCCCCACCAAAACUGAGUUUACUUCCAUCCCAGAGAAUGCAGAUAAGGAAUACAACCUUCUGUAAAGCAGAAAAUGAGCCAUAAGCAACCAGCAAAAAGGAUUUGAUUUUUAUCUGUUGUGACAGGAAAACAUUUUAAGAAGCAGACCCUUCUCUUGGUUGUGUAGGAACUGAAAAAGGUGAGGUAGGAAGACAACAUAAAGGAUUUAUAUUUUCCAAUGAAAAAUAGGAAAUAGGUUAGUUAACCUCAUGAGGAGGGGGGAAAUGUAGUUCUCCCAUGCCAUGUAACCCUCUAUGGCCACAAAUGCUUUCUUGCACACCCAGCUGGAUGUGUGUUUCUUUCCCAAAGCAAAGACGGAUGUGUGCCUAGAAGCAUGCUGUGAUUGUCUGCCUGGAAGUAGGACAAUUUCUGCGCAAAAAACGAUUUUCCCUCCUAAAUUACCAUUACAAGUUUCUCUAGCAGAGUACAGGGAGCAAUUAGCAACUAGUACUUAGCAUUAAGUGAUAAAUUUUUUAUUAAGGUGUUAAAUUUGAACGGCCCGAGAAGGAAGCUUAAUUCAAAAUCUAAUAUUGUAUCACGCUCUAAAUCAUCACAACAUUACAACCACCCACCAGCUACCACUGAAAUAAUUGCCUGAUAAUAUGCCAUAAAGGACUGCAAAGCCCUUUUAAAUGGACAGAUAUCUGCCUGGGCUUUGGUUCUCAGCUGGGACCCCUUGAUUCUGAAAAGGGAACUCAAGACAGAUUUAUACCUGUUGAUGAUCUGGUCCUCCAAGUGUAAAGCUGCUAUACCACGGCAGGGAUUUUCUGCACCACUAAUAUUUUUUGAACAUUGCACAGAUUUUAAGUAACACUACACAGGUAAGCAAGCAGAGUUGUAGGUAACCUCUAAUCAUGUUGUAGCAGAUACCGUUACUGUAUUCUUGCAAUUUAAGAGAUUAUGACAUCUGAUUGCCAGAUUUCACACUAUUCUAAAGUAGGGAAUCCAAUUCCCACCAAUCAAACAGAUAGCCUUGCAGAAGAGCAGAAGUCUUGAUUUGCGCAUCCUAGCUGAGGUUCUGUAUUAUGAAACUAAAUCAUUAAUAAAACACUUUCUAAAUGCAAACUCCAGACAUAAGAACUGUAAAAAGCUACAGAAAGGUGCAAGUGGCGUGAACUUACCGCAUCCCCCUAAUGUUUUCCUUCUAAAUACAAAGCAUUUAAAGCCUUAUGAAGUCACAAACCAAUAAACACUGUGACAGCGAAUUAACUAGAGCUAAUGAAGCUUACAGACAGGCUACUGACAUAAAUGUUUAAAUGUUAAAAUCAAGUUGUUAAUAUAAAAAAUUAAGUAUUUAAAAUGGAAGUGGUCUUAGAAAGAACUGUCAUUGGUUUUUUUUUUGACUGGCUCACAUGCAUCAGCUAUACAUUAAUCAGCGUAAUAGU